AUUGAACGCUGGCGGCAGGCCUAACACAUGCAAGUCGAACGGUAACAGGAAGCAGCUUGCUGCUUCGCUGACGAGUGGCGGACGGUUGAGUAAUGUCUGGGAAACUGCCUGAUGGAGGGGGAUAACUACUGGAAACGGUAGCUAAUACCGCAUAACGUCGCAAGACCAAAGAGGGGGACCUUAGGGCCUCUUGCCAUCGGAUGUGCCCAGAUGGGAUUAGCUAGUAGGUGGGGUAACGGCUCACCUAGGCGACGAUCCCUAGCUGGUCUGAGAGGAUGACCAGCCACACUGGAACUGAGACACGGUCCAGACUCCUACGGGAGGCAGCAGUGGGGAAUAUUGCACAAUGGGCGCAAGCCUGAUGCAGCCAUGCCGCGUGUAUGAAGAAGGCCUUCGGGUUGUAAAGUACUUUCAGCGGGGAGGAAGGGAGUAAAGUUAAUACCUUUGCUCAUUGACGUUACCCGCAGAAGAAGCACCGGCUAACUCCGUG
rnacentral:rRNA from 1 species